GUUUGAUCCUGGCUCAGGACGAACGCUGGCGGCGUGCUUAACACAUGCAAGUCGAACGGAGAUUCAGCAAUGGAUCUUAGUGGCGAACGGGUGAGUAACGCGUAGGCAAUCUGCCUUCUAGAUGGGGACAACAUCCCGAAAGGGGUGCUAAUACCGAAUGUUGUAGUAUUUCCGCAUGGAGAUGCUACUAAAGGUGGCCUCUGAAUAUGCUACCGCUAGAAGAUGAGCCUGCGUCUGAUUAGCUAGUUGGAGGGGUAAUGGCCCACCAAGGCUUCGAUCAGUAGCCGGUCUGAGAGGAUGAACGGCCACACUGGGACUGAGACACGGCCCAGACUCCUACGGGAGGCAGCAGUGGGGAAUCUUCCGCAAUGGACGAAAGUCUGACGGAGCAACGCCGCGUGAGUGAAGAAGGUUUUCGGAUCGUAAAGCUCUUUCGUCAGGGACGAACGUAUUUCUUGUAAAUAAUGAGAGAUAGUGA
rnacentral:rRNA from 1 species